CCAGACUCCUACGGGAGGCAGCAGUGGGGAAUAUUGCGCAAUGGGGGAAACCCUGACGCAGCAACGCCGCGUGAGUGAAGAAGGCCUUCGGGUUGUAAAGCUCUUUAAUCAGGGACGAAGAAUGACGGUACCUGAAGAAUAAGCUCCGGCUAACUACGUGCCAGCAGCCGCGGUCAUACGUAGGAUCCGAGCAUUAUCCGGAGUGACUGGGUGUAAAGAGUUGCGUAGGUGGCAUAAUAAGUAGCUAGUGAAAUCUGGUGGCUCAACCAUUCAGACUAUUAGCUAAACUGUUAAGCUCGAGACCGUUAGGGGUAACUGGAAUUUCUAGUGCAGGAGUGAAAUCCGUAGAUAUUAGAAGGAACACCAAUAGCGUAGGCAGGUUACUGGGACGGUUCUGACACUAAGGCACGAAAGCGUAGGGAGCAAACGGGAUUAGAUACCCCAGUA
rnacentral:rRNA from 1 species